CACGUAGGCGGAUUGGUCAGUUAAGGGUGAAAUCCCAGGGCUCAACCCUGGAACUGCCUUUAAUACUGCCAGUCUUGAGUAUGGAAGAGGUGAGUGGAAUUCCGAGUGUAGAGGUGAAAUUCGUAGAUAUUCGGAGGAACACCAGUGGCGAAGGCGGCUCACUGGUCCAUUACUGACGCUGAGGUGCGAAAGUGUGGGGAGCAAACA
rnacentral:rRNA from 1 species